rnacentral:lncRNA from 1 species
CUCAGGCAAUGGCAAGGCCCUACUGAGGUGGAUGGCGCAAGGCGUCCAUCCUCUGGAAGAGCGCAGUAUGUUUCUGGGAAUGGGCUGAUUUGUUUUUGUAUUCCUUUAAUAAGUAUAGUUGCGACUUCUCAUAUGACCAUUAAGUAUGAAGGAAAAAACAUGACUUUCCCAAUUAAUGCAACUACUUCUAAAGAAUAGAUCUGUUUGCUCCAAAUGCAAUGAUUCAGCUGUGGAGUGUAAAUUGUUAAUGUCUAAUGAAAAACUCCCUGUAUUCCUGUCAAGGAAGUUUUUGAGAAAUUAAAUUAAAAUCUAGAGAAGAAAAAUUAAUGUUAAGANAAUCUAAGAAGCCUCCAAUUUCUC